rnacentral:rRNA from 1 species
UACGUAGGGUGCAAGCGUUGUCCGGAAUUAUUGGGCGUAAAGAGCUCGUAGGCGGUCUGUCGCGUCGAAUGUGAAAACCCGGGGCUUAACCCUGGGCUGGCAGUGGAUACGGACAGACUAGAGGUAGGUAGGGAGAAUGGAAUUCCCGGUGUAGCGGUGAAAUGCGCAGAUAUCGGGAGGAACACCGGUGGCGAAGGCGGUUCUCUGGGCCUUACCUGACGCUGAGGAGCGAAAGCGUGGGGAGCGAACAGG